CUUCCACAAAUAAAGCCGCAGCUAGAAGAUGAACAACAAAGAAAGAUGGGUUUAGGCGCUAUCGAAUGGUGUGUGUAUUUGUUCCUUUUUCUGGGGUGGCUCUAGUCUCAUGGCCACAAAGCUCUAGCCCAGGCGCCGCGAGGCACUGGCAUUGAGAGCCCAAUGCAUCUCAGCCUCACGCUGCAGAAGCCAGUGGGGCUGGGGAGCCGCAGCAGCGUCGAUUUUCUUCACAAGAAGAUGGGAACUGUGGGCUACAAGUAGGAUGGCAGAUCUGAUGCAGGAGACCUUUCUGCAUCAUGCCACGGAUGGCGUAGGGGUAGAUGAGAAGCUAUCUUUACGACGGGUAGCUGUGGUUGAAGAUUUCUUUGACAUUAUUUAUUCGAUGCAUGUGGAAACGGGGCCAAAUGGAGAACAAAUUCGGAAACACGCUGGACAAAAGAGAACUUACAAAGCAAUAAUGGAAAACCUCCCACUUUGGUGACCAGCAUGAUUGACUACAACAUGCCAAUUACCAUGGCCUACAUGAAACACAUGAAGCUGCAGCUGCUAAACUCACAGCA
rnacentral:lncRNA from 1 species